UACGGAAGGUAGCAGUGGGGAAUAUUGCACAAUGGGCGAAAGCCUGAUGCAGCUAUGCCGCGUGUAUGAAGAAGGCCUUAGGGUUGUAAAGUACUUUCAUCGGGGAGGAAAAAACAAAACUAAUAAUUUUAUUUCUUGACGUUACCCGAAAAAGAAGCACCGGCUAACUCCGUGCCAGCAGCCGCGGUAAUACGGAGGGUGCUAGCGUUAAUCAGAAUUACUGGGCGUAAAGAGCACGUAGGUGGUUUUUUUAAGUCAGAUGUGAAAUCCCUGGGCUUAACCUGGGAAUGGCAUUCAAGACUGGUUAGCUAGAGUCUUGUAGAGGGGGUAGAAUUCCAUGUGUAGCGGUGAAAUGCGUAGAGAUGUGGAGGAAUACCGGUGGCGAAGGCGGCCCCUGGACAAGACUGACGCUCAUGUGCGAAAGCGUGGGGAGCAAACAGGGAUUAGAUACC
rnacentral:rRNA from 1 species